rnacentral:rRNA from 1 species
CACCUACGGGGGGCAGCAGUGAGGAAUAUUGGUCAAUGGUCGGGAGACUGAACCAGCCAAGCCGCGUGAGGGAUGAAGGUACAGAGUAUCGUAAACCUCUUUUGUCAGGGAACAAAGGCGGGGACGCGUCCCCGGAUGAGUGUACCUGAAGAAAAAGCAUCGGCUAACUCCGUGCCAGCAGCCGCGGUAAUACGGAGGAUGCGAGCGUUAUCCGGAUUUAUUGGGUUUAAAGGGUGGGCAGGCGGGACCUUAAG